rnacentral:lncRNA from 1 species
CUUAUUACUUUUCCUAACCAAAACCUUAAAGCACGUUACAGCCUAUAUAAAUAAAUAUAAUGAUCGAAACAAUGCAAACAUUUCUCAAAACGUGGAGGAAACACAAGUACACCACUUUUUUUUUUUUUUUUGUCAUCCACAAGUAGUCAACGAACAUUGGUUUUUUUUUCUUUUUUCUUUUUUCUUCUUUUUUUUUUUU